UACCAGCACCCCGAGUGGUCGGGACGAUUAUUGGGCCUAAAGCAUCCGUAGCCGGUUCUACAAGUCUUCCGUUAAAUCCACCUGCUUAACAGAUGGGCUGCGGAAGAUACUAUAGAGCUAGGAGGCGGGAGGGGCAAGCGGUACUCGAUGGGUAGGGGUAAAAUCCGUUGAUCCAUUGAAGACCACCAGUGGCGAAGGCGGCUUGCCAGAACGCGCUCGACGGUGAGGGAUGAAAGCUGGGGGAGCAAACCGG
rnacentral:rRNA from 1 species